GUCAAAAAGAAGAUAGACGUCUUUAUUUCAUCAUCAAAAAACUUGCAGUUCCUCAGCUUCUCUAUGAUAUAUGCUGGAAACGACAAGUCAAAGAAUGUCUUACCGCUUGGAGACCCUUGAGUGCAGAUAUAUCCAGGAAUGAUACAGCAGAGAAGUCCAGGACCAAACUGUGGAUGUUCACAGGAGGGACAGAGAUGUUGGCAGGAAGGUUUGCGUUCCAGUUCACCUCGAUUGGAAGAUCCGAAUAGUCUGUGGGCUUGUCUAGAUCCUCCAUGUUGCUUUCGUCCUCUGACUCUUCAAUGGGCAUUGAACAUGUGGCCUGUAGUCCGUUCUGGAGCCGGAAGAUGAGUGGAUCUGUCGUGUCAACACUUACUACUGAGCCCUGAAGACCACAGUGAGGAGCUCCAGUCCAAGACCAAUGGCAAGUCCUAUGUCCAGCCCCAGGAAUAUAGCUGCCAAACAGGUCCCCACCCAAACAAUCUGGAGGACAACAACAUAACACCAACUACAGAAAUCAGAGAAAUGCCACUUGACGGUUCACUUAAAGGGAGAGGUCAAAGGCUCUUACACAGUCAGGACGGUCUUUCUUCCACAGGCCCUCAAAGGCAGUGAUGUUGGCAGGCGGACCCUCAUCGGGCACCAGUCUGGUCACUACCGCCCCCACCAUGAGACUCAAUACAGGGAAAGAUCCUGUUGUGAAGAACAACACAUUAUGGUCCAGAAGCUUGCAUCAGAACUGGCAGCUCUUUGAUAUAAGAGGUUUGAGAUGUGUCUGCUACACUGAAGACAAUAUUUGACUGGAUAUUCCAAUUUCUUCCAGGACAAACGUCUCCUGACUCAUUAUCAGCAAACGAAUAGGAAGAGGAUGACUGUUUCCCACUAAUAGAUCCUGCUCAUUUCCACUGGAGGUUUCCAGCUGGAUGAAAAGAAUGGCGUCAUGGACCGAGAGGAAGAGAAGGUCUCUGGUAACCUCCUCGUCAAAGAAAGACAGGGCCUCCAUUCUCCUGACAAGCUCACCUGUGACACGAGGACCCUUUAGAUUUUGGCUAAGCAUUACUGCAGUAAAAUCAUGACAGCAAAGAGUAAAAAAGAUGGCACACCAGUUUGAGGGACUUGGCUGCUACCACAUCCAGGAAUGAGACAGCUGAGAAGUCCACAACCAGGCUGUGAAUAUGGACCCUGGGCACUGACACAUCGACAGGUAGCUCAGACCUCCAGUCUACCUGGACCUUCACCUCUGAAUCUGGCCCCUUCUCCAGCCCAGGAGAACCCUGCUCGUUUUCAAAGGCUUUGUUUUCUACUCCCAAUGAGGCCACUGGUAUCAAACCAUUCUGUGAAGGAGAGCAGAUAUGGGAAAGUCAAGAAUGUGGUGUCAUGAAAUCAGAGUACAGGCACUUCAGAGAUCUGCAUGAACAUACCCUUCAGAUUGGCUAUAACAAUGGCAGCAAGAACUGACUGCGGGACAGAAAGUGAUGAGUUCCUCUACCACACCUUCUGCAGAGGCUGAAGAAAGGGCCCAAGGGCCAAGAUCACUAUCAUCACCAUCAGAGCUGAGAUGAUACCAGCAACCUGCAACAAUGAGAAGAGAGAACAGUUAAAUCUGGUCCUUGACAGUGCAGUGCUGGCCACAAAGCUUGAUAAACAUCCUCCGAAAAUGUUGCUGACGCCAAAAGCUAUCAGCUCCUAAUGGGAAUAAAGCAUAGACUUUUGCCACUGAGACUGCAACCGCAUAACCAACCACUGCUGUAGAAAAACUAGAGCCCAAAAUAUUCCCGAGAAGUGCUAUAUUUGGUGGCUGUGCCGGUGCAAACCUGUGGAGAAACAAGCAGACACAUGGGACAAUAAUAAUAGUAAGUCAAUUUAAAGUGACUGAAUGUGCACCCAGCCCUCAUCAGGAAGCAGGAAGCGCCACAGGAAGUGCUCUUACCCCCUGGGGAGGCUGUGGACAAUGCUGGCGCCGAACUGGGACUUCAGGUCCAUCACAUGAGAGAUUGCACAAGCUAUCACUGUCUAUCAGAUCGAAAGAGUGAAAGGUUUUGCUCAGCCGCUCUCGUAAACUCUGGAUCUCUUGGUCUCGUCUCUCAUGGACCUGGUCAAAGACGCGGUUUGAGUAGAUACGGCGUGACACGAGGAUGGCUAUUCCAGAUAAGCAAACACAUAGAGGAUCUCGUCUCUCCUGCGUCAAAACAAUCUGAUCGAACAGACCAAAAGAGCCCUUCUCCCUUUCUCUGGCAGUAUUGCUGUGUUCAGUAGACCAGCUCUUCCAGGUCUGCACUAAGAUCACUGCACCCAUUGACAUUAGAAACCUUUCCAGAAAUUGGGGAGGGAUCCAAUCUCCCACUCUGAAUGAGGAGGUUUGUGUCCACCAGUCUUUCCCUCACAUGUGAGAACCGUAAGUACGAAUACAAUGGAAAACCUUAUCUUGAAGCCACUUUUUCUUAAUCAGGUCCACUAUAAUAUCAUUAUCAAACAGAAUUGAUGGUAAAUGAAACCACACAUUUAUGUUAAGAGUAUCUAAAUAAACUAAUUUCUUGUCUGUUGUUUAUACCGAAAUUGUAUAAGUUGAUUACGAAGUCUUACCUGUCUUUUGAGUUAACGUCAAAUUGAAAUCCCACAGUCAAGAAAGGGUGCAUCUACUGUAUGCCAGACGUCCACUUAAACACAUUGUCCGUGUCUAUGAAGUCGGACUCUCUUAAUGGGAGCAGCAUUCACUUUUUUUGUAUUUAUAAGCAAAGUUGGGAUGUGGGAGGUGUAUCAGGGUUAAGCACCAAGAGGAAGCAAAAGGGAAUUACAUCAGCAUGCAUCCUGUCAAGGUUGACUGUCUCUCCCAAUCUUGUGUGUCGGUAGUAAAUGAGUGUGUAUUUGUGAUAGAAUCGGGGUGAGAGGGGGUCUGAUGUGUCAAAGGUGGGCUGGUUCUGUGUGGCGGGGAGGGGAGGGUGUACAUAUGUACAUUUCGACCAGUGCAGGUGUGAUUGAACACUCAAGAGAGAACAAUAUGAUCUACGCACGACUCGAUCUGACCUUCUUAGCCUUCUUUAGUACAGAAUGUCUAGAUAUGAUAUCAGAAUGCCGGAUCUCUCCUCAGAACAUGAGCCAGCUCUUUAAUACAUUGUGUCUGACAAUCUGUCAGUCAGCUAGACAUGAGUCAGGUUGAUACUUUGUCUUAAAAGUGUUGGUUAGUGAGGACGAUUUUAAGCAUCAAGCUCUUUUCAUAUAGGCAUAGUACUUUUGUGGUGUCUUACCCUUGUGACAUAAUGAUGAUGUCAACAAUUUUUUUUCAAAUGUUAACUUUAAAUAAAAUAAAUAAAAUAGAAAUAAAUGGAGACAAUUUAAAAGCAUAAAUGUGAACCUUAUAAUUUUAUGAAAGCACUUUUAUUAAAUCAUAUAAAUUUUAUUUGUGCUGUAAAGAUGUUUUAAAUUAUUUUUACAGUCGUUUUAUGGUUUUAUUGUUUACAGCAUUGUGUUGGAUGUAACUACAGUGAAAAGUCUGAUUUAUUUGUAUAUUUAUCUAUUGUGUUUUUUUUUUUUUUUACCAUACUAAAAUCAUUUUAUCAUGCAUAUUCUUUACAGUCAUUUUGUAG